ACGUAGGUGGCAAGCGUUGUUCGGAAUAACUGGGCGUAAAGGAUGCGUAGGCGGUUGGAUAAGUUAUGUGUUAAAUAUAUAGGCUUAACCUGUAGAAAGCACAUAAAACUGUUUAACUAGAGUGCAGGAGAGGUAAGUGGAAUUCCUAGUGUAGCGGUGAAAUGCGUAGAGAUUAGGAAGAACACCAGUGGCGAAGGCGACUUACUGGACUGUAACUGACGCUGAGGCAUGAGAGCAUGGGGAGCAAACAGGAUUAGAUACCCUGGUAGUCCAUGCUGUAAACGAUGGGUACUAGGUGUGGGUUGUGAAGAACAAUCUGUGCCGUCGCAAACGCAAUAAGUACCCCGCCUGGGGAGUACGAUCGCAAGAUUA
rnacentral:rRNA from 1 species